GUCGAGGGGUAUAGGUUUUCGGACCUAGAGACCGGCGCACGGGUGCGUAACGCGUAUGCAAUCUACCUUUUACAGAGGGAUAGCCCAGAGAAAUUUGGAUUAAUACCUCAUAGUAUUACGACUCGGCAUCGAGAUGUAAUUAAAGUCACAACGGUAAAAGAUGAGCAUGUGUCCCAUUAGCUUGUUGGUAAGGUAACGGCUUACCAAGGCAACGAUGGGUAGGGGUCCUGAGAGGGAGAUCCCCCACACUGGUACUGAGACACGGACCAGACUCCUACGGGAGGCAGCAGUGAGGAAUAUUGGUCAAUGGGCGCAAGCCUGAACCAGCCAUGCCGCGUGCAGGAUGAAGCAUCUAUGGUGUGUAAACUGCUUUUGUACGAGAAGAAACACUCCUUCGUGAAGGAGCUUGACGGUAUCGUAAGAAUAAGGACCGGCUAACUCCGUGCCAGCAGCCGCGGUAAUACGGAGGGUCCAAGCGUUAUCCGGAAUCAUUGGGUUUAAAGGGUCC
rnacentral:rRNA from 1 species